UAGACAACUCUCAACAACGGAUAUCUAGGCUCCCGUAUCGAUGAAGAACGCAGCGAAAUGCGAUACGUAGUGUGAAUUGCAGAAUUCCGUGAACCAUCGAAUCUUUGAACGCAAAUUGCGCCCGAGGCUUCGGCCGAGGGCAUGUCUGCCUCAGCGUC
rnacentral:rRNA from 1 species